rnacentral:rRNA from 1 species
UACGUAGGGUCCGAGCGUUGUCCGGAAUUAUUGGGCGUAAAGAGCUCGUAGGCGGCUCAUCGCGUCUGCCGUGAAAACCUGUGGCUCAACUACAGGCUUGCGGUUGAUACGGGUGGGCUGGAGUUCGGUAGGGGAGACUGGAAUUCCUGGUGUAGCGGUGAAAUGCGCAGAUAUCAGGAGGAACACCGAUGGCGAAGGCAGGUCUCUGGGCCAUAACUGACGCUGAGAAGCGAAAGCAUGGGGAGCGAACAGG